UACGUAGGGACCAAGCGUUGUCCGGAAUCAUUGGGCGUAAAGAGCGUGUAGGCGGCUUGUUAAGUCUUGCGUGAAAUCUCGGGGCUCAACCCCGAGCGGUCGUGAGAAACUGGCAGGCUAGAGUGCGGGAGAGGAGAGUGGAAUUCCUGGUGUAGCGGUGAAAUGCGCAGAUAUCGGGAGGAACACCGGUGGCGAAGGCGGUUCUCUGGGCCUUACCUGACGCUGAGGAGCGAAAGCGUGGGGAGCGAACAGG
rnacentral:rRNA from 1 species